CCGCACAAGCGGUGGAGUCAUGUGGUUUAAUUCGAAGCAACGCGAAGAACCUUACCAGGUCUUGACAUCCCUGACAACCCGAGAGAUCGGGCGUUCCCCUUCGGGGGACAGGGUGACAGGUGGUGCAUGGUUGUCGUCAGCUCGUGUCGUGAGAUGUUGGGUUAAGUCCCGCAACGAGCGCAACCCUCGACCUUAGUUGCCAGCAUUCAGUUGGGCACUCUAAGGUGACUGCGGCUAAAAGUCGGAGGAAGGUGGGGAUGACGUCAAAUCAUCAUGCCCCUUAUGACCUGGGCUACACACGUGCUACAAUGGGCGGUACAAAGGGUCGCGAACCCGCGAGGGGGAGCCAAUCCCAAAAAGCCGCUCUCAGUUCGGAUUGCAGGCUGCAACUCGCCUGCAUGAAGCCGGAAUCGCUAGUAAUCGCGGAUCAGCAUGCCGCGGUGAAUACGUUCCCGGGCCUU
rnacentral:rRNA from 1 species